GACGAACGCUGGCGGCGUGCUUAACACAUGCAAGUCGAACGGAAAGGCCCUGCUUUUGUGGGGUGCUCGAGUGGCGAACGGGUGAGUAACACGUGAGUAACCUGCCCUUGACUUUGGGAUAACUUCAGGAAACUGGGACUAAUACCGGAUAGGAGCUCCUGCUGCAUGGUGGGGGUUGGAAAGUUUCGGCGGUUGGGGAUGGACUCGCGGCUUAUCAGCUUGUUGGUGGGGUAGUGGCUUACCAAGGCUUUGACGGGUAGCCAGCCUGAGAGGGUGACCGGCCACAUUGGGACUGAGAUACGGCCCAGACUCCUACGGGAGGCAGCAGUGGGGAAUAUUGCACAAUGGGCGGAAGCCUGAUGCAGCAACGCCGCGUGCGGGAUGACGGCCUUCGGGUUGUAAACCGCUUUCGCCUGUGACGAAGCGUGAGUGACGGUAAUGGGUAAAGAAGCACCGGCUAACUACGUG
rnacentral:rRNA from 1 species